rnacentral:lncRNA from 1 species
GACUGAAUUUACUUUAGAAAUGCACAAUUACUUAAUGACUAUGUGGACUCAAGGGGAAACUGGGAUAUUGUGUUUGGCUCUGUCUAUAACCACACAGCAAAUCACUGACAAGUUUCUAGGGUCUUUGGAACAGUGAUUUUAUUUUUCUUUGUGGUUGUAGAGACAUAGUGUAAGCAGCCUGUGAUGUCAUUUGAGAACCCGAAGCAAUACAGGAAGAAGCAAAAAGAUACUAAUCAUACAAAAACAUGACAAAGAAGCCAUCUAAAAGAGCACGUGGAUAUGGAUGUGGAUUUUGUAAAGAUAUGGGUUAGCUGGGUAUGGCAAAGGAAGAAGAAAGGAGGUCUUCCAAAGAUGUCGUAGUAAUCCAGGAGAAGCUGGGCUGAGAUGAUGCACACAGCUGGCUCACCACAGUGCCAUUGGACAGCCGCAGUCACAAGACAAGGUUGCCCAAUCCUAGCUGAAUCACUGCCAAGCUGCCAGCCUAUGUUAUGAUCAGCCUCCAGUGCAUGGGUGUCCCAGAGCAGGUUGAUGUCCAUGGAGAAAAAUGUCCAAAGUGCAGAUUCCUUGGCUGUUUAUUAGUGUUAUCCUGGAUUGAUCUGCUCAGUAUCUGGAGGUUUCUAGGACAAACAGCCAGUAGUUUAUAUGUCAAGAAGCAUCACAUCUGACAUCAGUCCUUCCCUGUGAAAGGUUUGUUUUGGUGAUUAGCUGAGAUAUUGGAGUUUCACUUAAAUCUUGUCUGU